rnacentral:rRNA from 1 species
GACGUAGGGGGCAAGCGUUGUCCGGAAUUACUGGGCGUAAAGAGCUCGUAGGUGGGACUAUAAGUCGAUGAGUAAAUAUCUCGGCUCAACUGAGAUGCCAUUAUCGAUACUGUGGUUCUUGAGGACAGGAGAGGAAAGUGGAAUUCCCGGUGUAGCGGUGAAAUGCGUAGAGAUCGGGAGGAACACCAGUGGCGAAGGCGGCUUUCUGGCCUGAUUCUGACACUGAGGAGCGAAAGCCAGGGGAGCGAACGGG